rnacentral:lncRNA from 1 species
UUGAAAGUGUUUAAUUUUAACAAGUUGUAUUCUGCUAGUUAGGUAACUACAUAACCAGUUAUACAGAUUGCCCGUAAAUCCAAUAGCUUUAAGCUUGUUACACAACAAUUUAUGAUUCACAGUGUCAAAUGCUUUGGAGAAAUCUGUAUAAAUAGCAUCCACCUGUAGUCUCCUUUCCAAAGCAUCAGAUAUGUAUUGCGUGAAAAGUAAAAGAUUUGUAGAAGUUGAUCUACCUGAAAGAAAACCAUGUUGCUCUUCAAUUAGUACAUUGCAUAAAGGUGUUUUAAUAGAGUCGCAUAUUAUACUCUCUAGAAUUUUAGGAAUAGAAGAAAGAAUGCUUAUUGGUCUGUAGUUAGCUAUAUUACUCCUGUCACCUGAUUUAUGAAUAGGAACAAUAAAACUAGAUUUCCACAAACUUGGACAAAUACCUGAAUCAAGUGAAUGAGA